GUUUCUCUACAGUUCCGUGGGUCCUACAUCGGUUCACAAAUAAAAUUUCCUAAUUCCUAAACCCUAGCCAGCCCGACCCAUUCACAUAUGCGCCGCCACCCCAGUCCUCUGAGCUCGCAACUACAUCCGUCGCGCCACCGGGCUCCCCUGAGCUCGCACACACGCUGCCUCCCCGUGCCCUCUUCGAAGCCCGCGCCGUGCCUCCGGGGAUCUCCUCGACGCCCGCGCCGCCGCCCUGGAGACCUCCUGGACGCCCGCGCCGCCGCCCCCAUAGACCUCCUCGACGUCCGCGCUGCCGCCCCCGGAGACCUCCUCGACGCCCGCACCGCCGCCCUAGGGCCCUCCCCGGAGCCCGUGCCGCCACCCCAGGUCCUCCGCGGCGCUCGCGCCGCGCCCCCAUGGACCUCCGGAUGCCUCCGUCGCCGCUGUCCCCAAGGGCCUCGAGAGGCUACACACCACAGGGGCCUCUACAGCACCCGUGCUGCCACCAACGCACAAGGACAAGCCGAACCAACGCUGCCUAUAUGACGAG
rnacentral:lncRNA from 1 species